GAAGAAGAUACUAAGGGCGCACGGCGGAUGCCUUGGCACAGGAAGUCGAAGAAGGACGCGGCAAGCUGCGAUAAGCUCCGGGGAGGCGCAAACGGCCUUCGAUCCGGAGAUCUCCGAAUGGGGGAACCCAGCAGGGGUCAUGCCCUGCUACCCGCGCCUGAAUGAAAUAGGGCGCGAGGAGGCAACCCGGGGAACUGAAACAUCUAAGUACCCGGAGGAAGAGAAAUCAACCGAGAUUGCGGGAGUAGCGGCGAGCGAAACCGCACCAGCCCAAACCCAUGCACGUGCAAGCUUGAGGGCGUUGCUGCAUGAGGGGUUGUGGGACCGCGCAUUCCAUGGGCCUCAGACCAUGGACGCAGUUACAAAUCCGCGCGGAAGCGGAACGGCCUGGGAAGGCCGGCGGAACAGGGUGAGAGCCCCGUACGCGAAUCCGCGCGGACUGCGAGUGCGGCGCCCGAGUAGCGCCGGGCACGUGAAACCCGGUGCGAACCUGGGGGGACCACCCUCCAAGGCUGAACACUCUCCUGUGACCGAUAGCGAACCAGUACCGUGAGGGAAAGGUGAAAAGCACCCCGAGAGGGGAGUGAAACAGUACCUGAAACCGUGCGCCUACAAGCAGUCGGAGCCCCCGAGCGGGGUGACGGCGUGCCUUUUGUAGAAUGAGCCAGCGAGUUGCGGUAUGCGGCGAGGUUAAGGUUUGAACCGAGCCGCAGUGAAAGCGAGCCUUUAAGAUGGCGAUAGAGUCGCAUGCUGCAGACGCGAAGCCGGGUGAGCUAUCCAUGGGCAGGCUGAAGCGGGGGUAAGACCCCGUGGAGGGCCGAACCCACUUCGGUUGAAAACGGAGGGGAUGACCCGUGGAUAGGGGUGAAAGGCCAAUCAAACCCGGAGAUAUCUCGUUCUCCCCGAAAUAGCUUUAGGGCUAGCCUCGGCCGUUCUCCGACGGCGGUAGAGCACUGGAUCGUCGAGGGGGCUUCACCGCCUACCGACACGAACCAAACUCCGAAUGCCGCCGGAUCAGAGGCCGGGAGUCAGAACAUGUGGGCUAAGCUGUGUGUUCGAGAGGGAAACAGCCCAGACCGCCCGCUAAGGUCCCCAAGUUUAUGCUGAGUGGCAAAGGAUGUGCGUUUGCCUAGACAACCAGGAUGUUGGCUUAGAAGCAGCCAUGCAUUUAAAGAGUGCGUAACAGCUCACUGGUCAAGUGGACAUGCGCCGACAAUUCACGGGGCUAAGCAUAACACCGAAGCGGCGGACUAAUCUAUAUUAGUGGUAGGGGAGCUUUCCCCGCAGCGGAGAAGCCGAGAGGGCGACCCUCGGUGGAGCGCGGGGAAGUGAGAAUGCUGGCAUGAGUAACGAGAGCGGCGCGAGAAACGCCGCCGCCGUAAGCCUAAGGGUUCCUGGGCAAGGCUAAUCCUCCCAGGGUCAGUCGGGAGCUAAGGCGAGGCCGAGAGGCGUAGCCGAUGCGCAACAGGCGGACAUUCCUGUACCGCCUGCGGACCGCUAUCACCGACGGGGUGACGGAGAAGGGUAGCCGAGCGGGGUUCUGGACGUCCCCGUGAAAGCGCGUAGGGAGCAUCGCAUGGAAAUCAGCGGCGCAUAUAUCCUGAGACGCGAGACGAAAGCUUAUGCUGAAGUCGGCGAGCCCAUGCUUCCGAGAAAAACCUCUAGGAAGGGACGCAGGCGCCCGUACCAAAACCGACACAGGUGGGCAGGUAGAGCAUACCGAGGCGAUCGGGAGAACCAUGGUUAAGGAACUCGGCAUACUGACUCCGUAACUUCGGGAGAAGGAGUGCCCCUGGCGGUGACGGGACUAGCUCCCCGAGCGGCCGGGGGUCGCAGCGAAACGGCCCAAGCGACUGUUUAUCAAAAACACAGGACUCUGCAAAGCCGUAAGGCGACGUAUAGGGUCUGACGCCUGCCCGGUGCUGGAAGGUUACGCGGAUGGGUCAGCCGCAAGGCGAAGCUCUGAAGCCAAGCCCCAGUAAACGGCGGCCGUAACUAUAACGGUCCUAAGGUAGCGAAAUUCCUUGUCGGGUAAGUUCCGACCUGCACGAAUGGCGUAACGAUUUGGGCGCUGUCUCAACCAUGGACCCGGUGAAAUUGUAUUAUUCGUGAAGAUGCG
rnacentral:rRNA from 1 species